GAACGCACCUUGCACCCUUUGGCAUUCCGAAGGGUAUGCUCGUUUGAGUGUCAUUGUACUCUCACACUUCCGAUCUUUGGAUUGGGAGCGGUGGACUUGGGUGUUGCUGCUUACUGUGGCUCACCUCAAAUCGAUUCGUGCACCUCUUGGUUGGACAUAGUACGGCGUGAUAAGUGUCUUCGCCGGCACCUCAUUCGAGGGUGGCUGAUCGGGAGCUCUGUGCUUCAAACCGUCCUCGGACAACAACUGACAACUUGACCUCAAAUCGAGUAGGACUACCCGCUGAACUUAAG
rnacentral:misc_RNA from 1 species